AUGAUACCCCGCGCGUUGCGGCGGAAAUUUAUAGUAAUUAAUUUCCAAGGAAACAAAUGCCAACUGUAUUAUAUACAUAUGAUAGAAAAUAAUGUACUAAUGUGGAAGUGUCAUGUAUGCAUUAUAACAAUCUUGGCCACAUUUAGAUAUCACACAUUUAUAGAUAUUCUGAAUUGCUAUAACAAUAAAAUGAGUAUGUUACAUUUGUCGAUAUUCUGUACAUGCAUGAGUAGAAUUUGGCUAUCACUAAAUGUUCUUUGUGAAGUACAAUCAGGAACCUUCAAACCUGGAAAAAAGAUACAUGACAUGAAGCCCUCAAAUGACAGAGAAAGGGAAACUUAG
rnacentral:rRNA from 1 species